ensembl:snoRNA
UUGCCCUCUUAUGGUUGUUGCAGUGUUUCAGGAGGCUAACACAGAACAAUAAAGCACCUGUUCGUAAACCCUAGAGAGGAGAUCAGGAACUUCUCAUUGGAUUCUGUCUUGAUUUGCCAUUG